rnacentral:rRNA from 1 species
GACGAACGCUGGCGGCGUGCUUAACACAUGCAAGUCGAACGAAGAGCGAUGGAAGCUUGCUUCUCUCAAUCUUAGUGGCGAACGGGUGAGUAACGCGUAAUCAACCUGCCCUUCAGAGGGGGACAACAGUUGGAAACGACUGCUAAUACCGCAUACGAUCUAACCUCGGCAUCGAGGAAAGAUGAAAGGUGGCCUCUAUGUAUAAGCUAUCACUGAAGGAGGGGAUUGCGUCUGAUUAGCUAGUUGGAGGGGUAACGGCCCACCAAGGCGAUGAUCAGUAGCCGGUCUGAGAGGAUGAACGGCCACAUUGGGACUGAGACACGGCCCAGACUCCUACGGGAGGCAGCAGUGGGGAAUCUUACGCAAUGGACGAAAGUCUGACGGAGCAACGCCGCGUGAGUGAGGACGGCCUUCGGGUUGUAAAGCUCUGUUAAUCGGGACGAAAGGCCUUCUUGCGAAUAGUGAGAAGGAUUGACGGUACCGGAAUAGAAAGCCACGGCUAACUACGUG